CAUUUGCCUUGUAUUUUAUGGUAAAAACCCACUGACAACCCAUUGGAUUCUUUCCUUUUAGCAACUCCACUAUGUCCCAUGUUAUAUUUUUUUCUAGUCCUUCCAUCUCAACACUCAUGGCUUGUCUCCACUUUUCACUAUUUAAUGCCUUGGAUAGGGUUUUAGGAAUAGUAAUAGUGUUUAAUUAGGUAAGAAAGGCUCGGUAGAAAGGUGACAAUCUAUUUUUUUUUGAUAGGUAAAAUGUAUUUAUAAAAAGAAAGGUGACAAUCUAUCAUAGGAUAUGAACUGAGCUAAUGGGUAUGAAGAAUGUUUGGUACACUCGUGUACCUUUCAUUAUCCAUGGCAACACAAAAAUU
rnacentral:lncRNA from 1 species